UACGAGAGGCCCAAACGUUAUUCGGAUUUACUGGGCUUAAAGAGUUCGUAGGCGGCGCAGAAAGUAGGGUGUGAAAGCCCUCGGCUCAACCGAGGAAUUGCGCCCUAAACUACUGUGCUAGAGGAAGCUAGAGGUGAGCAGAACAGAUGGUGGAGCGGUGAAAUGCGUUGAUAUCAUCUGGAAUACCGGAGGCGAAGGCGGCUCACUGGGGCUUUUCUGACGCUGAGGAACGAAAGCCAGGGGAGCAAACGGG
rnacentral:rRNA from 1 species